rnacentral:rRNA from 1 species
AUUGAACGCUGGCGGCAGGCCUAACACAUGCAAGUCGAGCGGAUGAAGGUAGCUUGCUAUCUGAUUCAGCGGCGGACGGGUGAGUAAUGCCUAGGAAUCUGCCUGGUAGUGGGGGACAACGUUUCGAAAGGAACGCUAAUACCGCAUACGUCCUACGGGAGAAAGUGGGGGAUCUUCGGACCUCACGCUAUCAGAUGAGCCUAGGUACGAUUAGCUAGUUGGUGAGGUAAAGGCUCACCAAGGCGACGAUCGUUAACUGGUCUGAGAGGAUGAGCAGUCACACUGGAACUGAGACACGGUCCAGACUCCUACGGGAGGCAGCAGUGGGGAAUAUUGGACAAUGGGCGAAAGCCUGAUCCAGCCAUGCCGCGUGUGUGAAGAAGGUCUUCGGAUUGUAAAGCACUUUAAGUUGGGAGGAAGGGCAGUAAGUUAAUACCUUGCUGUUUUGACGUUACCGACAGAAUAAGCACCGGCUAACUUCGUGCCAGCCGCCGCCGUAA